rnacentral:lncRNA from 1 species
AUUUUCCCCGAUUGUCAGUGAGGCUCGGCACGCAGACACCCCGCUCGAGCCGCAGCAGUCGCUCUACUCCCGGGAUCAGCACCUUUCCGCCAGGGCUGCUCUCAGUUAGCGAUGUCAGGCCAGAGCUCCUCUUGCAGAUGCACCUUUAAUUUGGCCUCCCUCAGAUGACUGGUAAUCAUUUUGCGCACAUUCAAAAUGGAAAACCACUAAGAUAAUGAUAUUUUAAAGGAUGUAUCAAAAAAGCUAGCAGAUGAAAUGGAAUAAUAAAAAAAAAUUACCAAGGAAUUCAAGAACGGAGGAAUAAAGGAACAAAGGACAGGAAUCUUCUGCGGCUUGUCCAUAGUGUGAAUAAAAACUAAAUCACAUCUAUAAUUCUACUGAACUGGUCACACAGACGCUGCCAUAUAUGUCACAGUACACUGAAAAGGAGCCAGCAGGUAAGGA